AUCGAACGCUGGCGGCAUGCCUAACACAUGCAAGUCGAACGAGUGGCGGACGGGUGAGUAAUGUCUGGGAAACUGCCUGAUGGAGGGGGAUAACUACUGGAAACGGUAGCUAAUACGGCAUACCAUCGGAUGUGCCCAGAUGGGAUUAGCCAGUAGGUGGGGUAAAGGCUCACCUAGGCGACGAUCCCUAGCUGGUCUGAGAGGAUGACCAGCCCCACUGGAACCAUGACACGGUCCAGACUCCUCCGGGGGGCAGCAGUGGGGAAUAUUGCACAAUGGGCGCAAGCCUUAUGCACCCAUGCCGCGUCUAUGAAGAAGGCCUUCAGGUUGUAAAGUACUUUCAGCGGGUAGGCGUUACCCGCAGAAGAAGCCCCGGCUAACUCCGUGCCAGCAGCCGCGGUAAUUC
rnacentral:rRNA from 1 species